rnacentral:lncRNA from 1 species
GUUGGUUUCUGGCAACGUAUCAUGUGUGGUAAAAGAGAAAAAAAUUCAUAUACACUGUAUUCUAUAUUGUAUCAGCUUAGUAAAAGGGGUAUCUACCACUCUAAAUGGUUGUUAGAAAUUAAAAAUACUUUAUAUGAAUGUGGAUUUAAUUUGAUGUGGGAUGAUCAAAUAAUUGCUAAAUCUGAUAAUAUUAGUAAGAAUGUCA